rnacentral:rRNA from 1 species
UGGCGGACGGGUGAGUAACGCGUGGAAAACCUGCCGUAUACUGGGGGAUAACACUUAGAAAUAGGUGCUAAUACCGCAUAAGCGCACAGCUUCGCAUGAAGCGGUGUGAAAAACUCUGGUGGUAUACGAUGGUUCCGCGUCUGAUUAGCUAGUUGGUGGGGUAAUGGCCUACCAAGGCAACGAUCAGUAGCCGGCCCGAGAGGGUGAACGGCCACAUUGGGACUGAGACACGGCCCAAACUCCUACGGGAGGCAGCAG